UCCAUCGGCCGGGAAUCGAACCCGGGGCGCUCGCGUGGCAGGCGAGCAUUCUACCACUAAACCAAAAGCAAACGG
rnacentral:tRNA from 1 species